rnacentral:rRNA from 1 species
CUAGCUCACUGGUCAAGCGAGCCCGCGCCGAAAAUAUAACGGGGCUAAGUCUGGUACCGAAGCUUCGGAUUGUCGAAAGACAGUGGUAGCGGAGCAUUCUCAAGUAGACACACGGCAUACCGUAAGGAGUGCUAUCGGACUUGAGAAGAGCUUAUGCAGGCAUGAGUAGCGAUAAACAGGAUGAGAAAUCCUGUCGCCGUAAGCCCAAGGUUUCCUGGGGAAGGAUAAUCCUCCCAUGGGUUAGUCGGUCCCUAAGCCAAGGCCGAAAGGCGUAGGUGAUGGUAAGCAGGUUAAUAUUCCUGCACCACUAGGGAUGGCGUUGAGGCAAGCAGGGACGGAGAAGGGUAUGCUGAGCCAGCGAAUGGUUGUGCUGGUUCAAACCUGUAGGUGGUUCACGUAGGACGCGACAGCGACAAACGCGUGAACAUCACAUCGAGAGGUGAUGAGGUGGAGCUCCGGCUUCGAAACUCAGUGAUCCCAUGCUUCCAAGAAAAGCUGCGUGCAGAGCCUCUUUAGUGACCGUACUGCAAACCGACUCAGGUGGGCGGGGUGAAUAUCCCAAGGCGCGUGAGAGAACACUGGCCAAGGAACUCGGCAAAAUGACACCGUAACUUCGGGAGAAGGUGUGCCCGUAGACGUGAAAGGACUUGCUCCUCGAGCGUCCGUGGGUUGCAGAGAAUUGAGGGUAGCGACUGUUUACUAAAAACACAGGACUGUGCGAACUCAUAAGAGGACGUAUACGGUCUGACGCCUGCCCGGUGCUGGAAGGUUAAGGGGAGAUGUCAGCGCAAGCGAAGCAUCGAACCGAAGCCCCAGUAAACGGCGGCCGUGACGAUAACGGUCCUAAGGUAGCGAAAUUCCUUGUCGGGUAAGUUCCGACCUGCACGAAUGGCGUAACGACUUCCCUACUGUCUCGGUCAGUGACUCAGCGAAAUUGUAUUGGGGGUGAAGAUACCCUCUACCCGCGGCAAGACGGAAAGACCCCAUGAACCUUCACUGUAAGUUGGCAGUGAAGUUCGGGUCAGCCUGCGUAGGAUAGGUGGGAGGCUUUGAUGCCGGGAUUCCGGUUUCGGCGGAGCCAACCUUGAAAUACCACCCUGGCUGUUCUGGACUUCUAACCUAGGCCCAUUAUCUGGGUCGGGGACACUGCCUGCCGGGCAGUUUGACUGGGGCGGUCGCCUCCAAAAGAGUAACGGAGGCGCGCGAAGGUCCCCUCAGGCUGAAUGGAAACCAGCCGUAGAGUGCAAAGGCAUAAGGGAGCUUAACUGUGAGACCGACAGGUCGAACAGGUGAGAAAUCAGGUCUUAGUGAUCCGGUGGCACUGCAUGGAAGGGCCAUCGCUCAACGGAUAAAAGGUACUCUGGGGAUAACAGGCUGAUCGCGCCUGAGAGUCCAAAUCGGCGGCGCGGUUUGGCACCUCGAUGUCGGCUCAUCGCAUCCUGGGGCUGG